rnacentral:rRNA from 1 species
UACGAAGGGUGCAAACGUUGCUCGGAGUUAUUGGGCGUAAAGCGCGCGUAGGCGGCUUGGCAAGUCGGAUGUGAAAUCCCUCGGCUCAACCAAGGAAGUGCAUCCGAAACUGCCGAGCUUGAGUACUUAAGAGGAUCGCGGAAUUCCCGGUGUAGAGGUGAAAUUCGUAGAUAUCGGGAGGAACACCAGUGGCGAAGGCGGCGAUCUGGGAAGAUACUGACGCUGAGGUGCGAAAGCGUGGGGAGCAAACAGG